GGCGAACGGGUGAGUAACACGUAGUAACCUACCCUGGAGUCUGGGAUAACCUGCUGAAAGGCGGGCUAAUACCAGAUAAGACCACGGGGGCCACGGCCCUGGGGUAAAAGAUGGCCUAUGCUUGCAAGCUAUCACUCCGGGAUGGGCCUGCGCGCCAUUAGCUAGUUGGUGAGGUAACGGCUCACCAAGGCCGAGAUGGCUAGCUGGUCUGAGAGGAUGGCCAGCCACACUGGGACUGAGACACGGCCAGACUCCUACGGGAGGCAGCAGUGGGGAAUAUUGCGCAAUGGGCGAAAGCCUGACGCAGCGACGCCGCGUGGGUGAUGAAGGCCUUCGGGUCGUAAAGCCCUGUCAAGAGGGACGAAACCUCGUCGACCUAAUACGUCGGCGACCUGACGGUACCUCUGAAGGAAGCACCGGCUAACUCCGUGCCAGCAGCCGCGG
rnacentral:rRNA from 1 species